rnacentral:rRNA from 1 species
UACGGGGGGAGCAAGCGUUGUUCGGAUUUACUGGGCGUAAAGGGCGCGUAGGCGGCCACCGCAAGUCGGUUGUGAAAUCUCCGGGCUUAACCCGGAAAGGUCAAUCGAUACUGCGGGGCUAGAGUGCAGAAGGGGCAACUGGAAUUCUCGGUGUAGCAGUGAAAUGCGUAGAUAUCGAGAGGAACACCUGCGGCGAAGGCGGGUUGCUGGGCUGACACUGACGCUGAAGCGCGAAAGCUAGGGGAGCGAACGGG